rnacentral:rRNA from 1 species
CAGGGGGACAACCCGCCGAAAGGCGGGCUAAACCCGCGUACAUGCCACCGGGGCAUCCCGGAGGCAGGAAAGGCUUCGGCCGGACAGGGAUGGGCAUGCGGCGCAUUAGGCAGUAGGCGGGGUAACGGCCCACCUAACCGACGAUGCGUAGGGGUUCUGAGAGGAAGGUCCCCCACACUGGUACUGAGACACGGACCAGACUCCUACGGGAGGCAGCAGUGAGGAAUAUUGGUCAAUGGUCGGGAGACUGAACCAGCCAAGCCGCGUGAGGGAUGAAGGUACAGAGUAUCGUAAACCUCUUUUGUCAGGGAACAAAGGCGGGGACGUGUCCCCGGAUGAGUGUACCUGAAGAAAAAGCAUCGGCUAACUCCGUGCCAGCAGCCGCGGUAAUACGGAGGAUGCGAGCGUUAUCCGGAUUUAUUGGGUUUAAAGGGUGCGCAGGCGGUCUGUUAAGUCAGCGGUCAAAGCCCGGGGCUCAACCCCGGCCCGCCGUUGAAACUGGCAGUCUCGAGUUGGAGAGAAGUAUGCGGAAUGCGCGGUGUAGCGGUGAAAUGCAUAGAUAUCGCGCAGAACUCCGAUUGCGAAGGCAGCAUGCCGGCUCCACACUGACGCUGAGGCACGAAAGCGUGGGUAUCGAACAGGAUUAGAUACCCUGGUAGUCCACGCAGUAAACGAUGAAUGCAGGGUGCCCGGGGGGGAUUGACCCCUGGGUGGCGAAG